rnacentral:rRNA from 1 species
AGUGAACGCUGGCGGCGUGCCUAAUACAUGCAAGUCGAACGAUGAAGCUUCUAGCUUGCUAGAAGUGGAUUAGUGGCGCACGGGUGAGUAAGGUAUAGUUAAUCUGCCCUACACAAGAGGACAACAGUUGGAAACGACUGCUAAUACCGCAUAAGACCACAGCACCGCAUGGUGCAGGGGUAAAAACUCCGGUGGUAUGAGAUGGACCCGCGUCUGAUUAGCUAGUUGGUAAGGUAACGGCUUACCAAGGCGACGAUCAGUAGCCGACCUGAGAGGGUGACUGGCCACAUUGGGACUGAGACACGGCCCAA